UUNUGGGCCGCACGCGCGCUACACUGACGGAGCCAGCGAGUACUUCNUUGUCCGAAAGGUCCGGGUAAUCUUGUUAAACUCCGUCGUGCUGGGGAUAGAGCAUUGCAAUUAUUGCUCUUCAACGAGGAAUCCCUAGUAAGCGCAAGUCAUCAGCUUGCGUUGAUUACGUCCCUGCCCUUUGUACACACCGCCCGUCGCUACUACCGAUUGAAUGGCUCAGUGAGGCGUCCGGACUGGCCCAGAGAGGUGGGCAACUACCACUCAGGGCCGGAAAGCUCUCCAAACUCGGUCAUUUAGAGGAAGUAAAAGUCGUAACAAGGUCUCCGUUGGUGAACCAGCGGAGGGAUCAUUACCGAGUUUACAACUCCCAAACCCCUGUGAACAUACCUUAAUGUUGCCUCGGCGGAUCAGCCCGCGCCCCGUAAAACGGGACGGCCCGCCAGAGGACCCAAACUCUAAUGUUUCUUAUUGUAACUUCUGAGUAAAACAAACAAAUAAAUCAAAACUUUCAACAACGGAUCUCUUGGUUCUGGCAUCGAUGAAGAACGCAGCAAAAUGCGAUAAGUAAUGUGAAUUGCAGAAUUCAGUGAAUCAUCGAAUCUUUGAACGCACAUUGCGCCCGCUGGUAUUCCGGCGGGCAUGCCUGUUCGAGCGUCAUUUCAACCCUCAAGCCCCCGGGUUUGGUGUUGGGGAUCGGCUCUGCCCUUCUGGGCGGUGCCGCCCCCGAAAUACAUUGGCGGUCUCGCUGCAGCCUCCAUUGCGUAGUAGCUAACACCUCGCAACUGGAACGCGGCGCGGCCAUGCCGUAAAACCCCAACUUNUGAAUGUGACCUCGAUCAGUUAG
rnacentral:rRNA from 1 species